UAAAUCACGCGAUAUGACUGUGCGCGUGAUACAAUUGAAAAAAAAGAAGCAAGAUCUUUUUUGAAAAUUUGAAAGGCAGAACUCUUGUAAAAUUGGCGUACUUCGAAAGAACGCCGCAACAGGACAAACGAACGGUGCAACGUGCACGGUGGGCGUCGCGACGCUUACUGAACCGCAGCGUCGUAGACGUAACGCGAUUCCGGCACGCGACGACGGCUUUGACUUUUCUGUUUUGUCUUUCAAUCCCCGCACAGUGAUCGCCUUCCCCUUUCCGAUAAUGAAGAGAUUACUUCAACCAGGAACCUUAUAUUGGUUAAAUGUUUCCAAAAUGGAAAAUGCCCACCUUGAAAUCGAAGAUCAUGCUGGCUCUUCUCAAAACAUAAAGGAUUUAUGAAGAACGAUCUUCAGCAUUACAAGUUGAAAGACUCGAGCUGCAAGGUUCAACAAUACCAGGAAUCAUUUGCACUGAAAUCUAUUUGAGAUAACAAUAAUAUCAUAAAAAGUCAUUUUAUGUAUCGUGUAUGUAUUGUGUAGUCAACUUAUGUAUCUACUCUCCAAAUAUAUUUCCAGUCAAGCGCUACGCGCGUUAUUAAUUGUCAUAAUGAAUGUUCAUAUUGUUUUUCUUCAAUUUCAGGAGUACACACGCUCAAAGCUUGCCCCACUUUAAUUGUUUGUCCCACUUCUACGCAAAAUUUAAAAUCUUUUGGAGCCUCGAAUAAUAACACAAUAGUGGAUCCCAUUCUAAAUUCGCCAAAUAAUUCUCCUUUACUUAAACGUGUACAGCCUAAACUAGCAUCUUUCCAUCGUUUUGCUUCAGGCCACUUAAGGGCAUUUGUAUGUAAAUCUUUAUCACAGUAAACUUUUAUAGAACCUACAUUUGUCGCUCCAACUGCACUAUAAGCCAUAAAACCACCAGCCCAUUUACCAAUAUACACUACACGUUCAUUUAAUGAAAAUAAGUCUGGUAGAUAUUGGGCUAUUUUAGGAUUAACGCUUAAAAGCUUCCCUGAAAUGAAGAAAGAUAUCUUCCCAAUUUUAAUUCAUGUAAACCAAAGUUAGAUUUUGAAAUAUAAAAAAACAAUAAACCUUGGAAGUGUUUACGAAAUUCUAUUUCCCAGUCAGUUGGACUAUGAAAUCUGUGAUAAUCCCCUGGUGCAAGAUAAACUGUUAGUUGAUAGAGCUGAUUUGUUGGAUUUUUUAAGAG
rnacentral:misc_RNA from 1 species